rnacentral:rRNA from 1 species
GACGAACGCUGGCGGCGUGCUUAACACAUGCAAGUCGAACGAAGUGGCGAACGGGUGAGUAACGCGUAAUCACCCUGCCCUUCAGAGGGGGACAACAGUUGGAAACGACUGCUAAUACCACAUCCUGCAGGCGUAGUUUGAGUCGUAUUAGGUAGUUGGAGUGGUAACCGCCCACCAAGGCGAUGAUCAGUAGCCGGUCUGAGAGGAUGAACGGCAACAUUGGGACUGAGACACGGCCCAGACUCCUACGGGAGGCAGCAGGGGGGAAUCUUCCGCAAUGGACGAAAGUCUGACGGAGCAACGCCGCGUGAGUUAUGACGGCCUUCGGGUUGUAAAGCUCUGUUAAUCGGGACGCGGUACCGGAAGAGAAAGCAACGGCUAACUACGGGCCAGCCGCCGCGGUAAUUC